rnacentral:rRNA from 1 species
GAUCAUGGCUCAGGAUGAACGCUAGCUACAGGCUUAACACAUGCAAGUCGAGGGGCAGCAUGGUCUUAGCUUGCUAAGGCCGAUGGCGACCGGCGCACGGGUGAGUAACACGUAUCCAACCUGCCGUCUACUCUUGGACAGCCUUCUGAAAAGGAAGAUUUAAAUACAAGAUGGCAUCAUGAGUCCGCAUGUUCACAUGAUUAAAGGUNUUCCGGUAGACGAUGGGG